UCCCACCGUUAAGUCAAGGAUCUCUCCCUCCUCUAUGGAUUGAUCCUGUUACAACAGUGGGAGAUUGAGUAUGUCUCGCCUUGCCUGUGGCCGUUAUGGUCAUGGGUAGACUAGCUUCCGUUUUGGUUGCCGAUCACCAGAGUCAGGUGUCCCGUUUGAGUUGAGGGCCAUUUCUGCAUUGCAGCAUCGUGGUGGUUCUCUUAGUAACGUCUCACACAUCU
rnacentral:snoRNA from 1 species